rnacentral:lncRNA from 1 species
GAGCCCCUCCCCCUCACAACACAAAAUGCCCCCUCUAAUUCCCUAACAUAGCACCCCCAGGGAAAGCCACCCUAAGCAGAAGGCAUUGAGUGUUGACAACUCAACCACGAGACCCAGCGAGAAAAUCAAAGGGUAAGGCCUCUUAUUUGGGCUCUGUCCCCUGCCAGUCACACAGCUCAGGCCCCACGCCCAGGCCCUCGCCUGAAGGAGAUUGUCAGAUGUCUCAGGACACAAACAAAGACUCCUCUUGGCAAUGCCAUCUCGGGACAAAAUCUAGAUCAUGUUUUAAUUUCUCUGACACUCAGUUUAUGCCCUCCCCUACACAUGUCUGUGUCAUGGAAUUUUAUUUACUUAGGACUUGUGAAAAUAAAGGGUUGCAGCCUCAAAGGACCAAAGCACUGAUGGUGAGAAUGAAUGUGCUGUCCAACCAGUGGGGGAACCAUCUCUGGUCUUCCUGAUGAUCCCCCAGUAAUCCGGUGCCUGGAGCCCCCCACUCUGCCAGCACCUGGCACUGCUCCCGGAUGGAAUGCUAUGUCCCUGCAUUUUCACUUAGUGAAUUGUGCAGCCCGCAGGCUGAACGGGACUCCCCGCAGCUAUGAUGGCACAAUGGCUUCUCCAGGCUUCCCCCCCACCCCCACCUGGCCACAGCCUGUCCCGGGGCUAGAGGCGACAGAGACAAAGGGUCUAGAGAGGAAUUACAUCAAGGAGACAAUGGCGCUCAAAUGCUGAUCAGAGCUUGUUAACAUCCACAUGCCCCACGUGGAAUAAGGGAGACAAGGGGUCUCCUUCCCGAACUGAGGCCACACAGGAAGGAUCUUGUGAGGUUUUGAUGCCAGCAGUUCCCGCUGCCCUCAUGCAAUAGCUUAACACUCCUGCAAAGGCGAGACCGCAUCCCUCACCCGAGCAGUUCCAACUCAGGAUGCGACACAGCAGGAACUGCGGCAUCUCUGAGGAUCUGGGCUGGGGCCGGGAGCGGAUUGGCAGCAGGCAGCGCAAACGUCCUCCCAACCAAAUUGCCCGCGGUCGGGAGGCGAUCGGGGCAAGCGGGUUUCAUAUGCCUGAACGACCAAGAACAUUAAAAACCGAGUUCGGCUUCUGGAAUCCCCAGGAAGGUAAGCCUUCCCAGGAGACCUGCUUCAAACCUCAGGCCCCGGAGCGACAGCGCCCGGCCACGCUCUCCCCAGGCAGGAGCACCCAGGCUCUUGGUGGGUGUACGGUACACUCGCAGACCAAGCCAGGUGAGAGGGGUAGAGUCACAUCCCAUGUCCAAUCUUCCAUUUUGGGAAAGGUGAAGCCCUAGCCACACUGGCAUCUCCCUCUGAUGGGGCUGGUGGACGGGGGUCAUGAGUUAGAUGUGCAAGGGCUAGCCGUGCAUCCCGGCGUCCCUUCAGCACUGCAGAAAGCCCGGCAGCCACCUGCUCAUCCAGCAGCCAAGCUUCAUCAGCAUCCAGGAACAAAUGGUGUAUUUCUUGGAAGCAAGUGGCUGUCCGUGUUGGUCUUGGAGAGGAGGUAUCGGAAAAGUAUGAUGACAACCUGGUCCUGAGAUAGAGCCAAUCAGCAGGGAGUCACUCAUGUGUGGUGGGUCUACCUCUACCUCCCACCCUCUCACUGCUCACCCUUCAUGGUUAUUAAACUCAGUUCCAAAAAAAAUAAAAAAUAAAAAAUAAAAAUAAACUCA